ACUUAUUCAUGGUUUGUUGGCUUAGGUUUUGAAUUUCAAAAUUGGGCUGAUUCAUUAUUGACUUCAUUAUUUUAUUUAUUUUCUUGGUUUGUCGAUUAAAAAAGAAACGAAGAGAGAGAUAGUUAAAGCGUUUGCAUUUUCUUCUUCCAAAAGGCUUCGAUUUCCGAGUAAGGCGAUUCCGAUAAAAUCUCCGGCAAGUUCAGAGUUGUAAACAGGGGAGGAGGGUAAGAUGACGGCAAGGCGGAAACGGCCAGGAAAAGAACAUGUGGAUGGAAAUGGGGUGUGGAAAAAGAGGUUUAAAGAGUAAACCUUUUUGUUAAUUAUCGUAUUGGUAAAGUUCUCAUCUCCAUUAGGCUUAUGCAUGUGCCAUUCCAUGAAUUCAACUAUAUUAACAUGUACUCACUACAUUGCUGAUCUUUAAUUAAUUUAUACGGUCUUCACUGUGGAGCGUAUUCUAAUCCUUACACCUCCAUAUUAAUUGGUUCAGGGCAAUGGCAGUGCGUCAUCUGCGAGAAAAUGAAGAUGUCAACAAAAUUUUGUAUGUUUGCACGUGUACAAUUGCUUUUGUAUACAAUAUUUUUCAGUGUACAUGUGUACAAAAUUAUACAUUCUUGGUGUAUAUCUUCUCGUUAUUUUUCAGUGUACAUGUGUACAAAACUAUAAAAUAUUUUUCAAUGUACAUAUGUUCC